rnacentral:rRNA from 1 species
AGUGAACGCUGGCGGUAGGCCUAACACAUGCAAGUCGAACGGCAGCACAGUAAGAGCUUGCUCUUACGGGUGGCGAGUGGCGGACGGGUGAGGAAUACAUCGGAAUCUACUUUUUCGUGGGGGAUAACGUAGGGACACUUACGCUAAUACCGCAUACGACCUACGGGUGAAAGCAGGGGAUCUUCGGACCUUGCGCGAUUGAAUGAGCCGAUGUCGGAUUAGCUAGUUGGCGGGGUAAAGGCCCACCAAGGCAACGAUGCGUAGCUGGUCUGAGAGGAUGAUCAGCCACACUGGAACUGAGACACGGUCCAGACUCCUACGGGAGGCAGCAGUGGGGAAUAUUGGACAAUGGGCGCAAGCCUGACCCAGCCAUGCCGCGUGGGUGAAGAAGGUCUUCGGGUCGUAAAGCCCUUUUAUUGGGAAAGAAAAGCAGCAUGUUAAUCCCUGGCUGUUUUGACGGUACCCAAAGAGAAAGCACCGGCUAACUUCGUG